rnacentral:rRNA from 1 species
CCCUUAGAUGUUCUGGGCCGCACGCGCGCUACACUGACGAAUGCAACGAGCUUAUAACCUUGGCCGAAAGGUCUGGGUAAUCUCCAAAUUUCGUCGUGAUGGGGAUAGAUUAUUGCAAUUAUUAAUCUUCAACGAGGAAUGCCUAGUAAGCGCAAGUCAUCAGCUUGCGUUGAUUACAUCCCUGCCCUUUGUACACACCGCCCGUCGCUCCUACCGAUUGAAUGGUCCGGUGAAGCGUUCGGACCGUGGCCUUUGGACGGUUCGCCGUCUGUUGGCUGCGGGAAGUUCGUUAAACCUUAUCAUUUAGAGGAAGGAGAANUCGUAACA